rnacentral:lncRNA from 12 species
UUAGAUGAUCAGAUCACCUCCAUUCCACUUGUUCACUCACAUAAAUUCUCUGGUAAACCAGACCAAGUUCACACACAGAUAAAGAAACUAAGGCAAAGGUGAUAAGUGAGCAAGGAGUGGCAAAAUCGAAAAUCAAUGCAUGUCUUAGUGCUCUGCUGGUGAAAUGCUCAGACUUGCUUUGAUAUCCCCAUUUUGGAAAUAAAAAAUCCAAGAACAGGAAAAAAAAACCCACGUGGACAUUCUCAAAGCCACAGAAAGCUCUUUUUACUGAUAACCUGAAGUAAGUCAAGUUGUUUAAUUUAUCAAGAUGACAACAGAGAUUGGAUUU